rnacentral:siRNA from 1 species
GGCUUACAAACUUGUAAAGUGCCC